ensembl:rRNA 5S_rRNA 5S ribosomal RNA
GACCACAUACUGAGUCCCCUGAAGGCAGCUGAUCUCAGAGGCUAACAGGGUCUGGCCUGGUUAGUACCUAGAUGGGAGACUGCUUGGGAAUAUGGGGUUCUGUAGUCU